rnacentral:rRNA from 1 species
AAGGCGAGGCCGAAAGGCGUAGUCGAUGGGAAACAGGUUAAUAUUCCUGUACUUGGUGUUACUGCGAAGGGGGGACGGAGAAGGCUAUGUUGGCCGGGCGACGGUUGUCCCGGUUUAAGCGUGUAGGUGUGUGUUCCAGGUAAAUCCGGUUCACUUUAACACUGAGGCGUGAUGACGAGGCACUACGGUGCUGAAGCAACAAAUGCCCUGCUUCCAGGAAAAGCCUCUAAGCAUCAGGUAACAUCAAAUCGUACCCCAAACCGACACAGGUGGUCAGGUAGAGAAUACCAAGGCGCUUGAGAGAACUCGGGUGAAGGAACUAGGCAAAAUGGUGCCGUAACUUCGGGAGAAGGCACGCUGACACGUAGGUGAAGUGAUUUACUCAUGGAGCUGAAGUCAGUCGAAGAUACCAGCUGGCUGCAACUGUUUA